GCAAGUCGAGCGCGAAAGUUCUUCGGGACGAGUAGAGCGGCGAACGGGUGAGUAACGCGUAGGAAUCUACCCAGUAGUGGGGGACAACAGUCGGAAACGGCUGCUAAUACCGCAUACGCCCCAAGGGGGAAAGCGGGGGAUCUUCGGACCUCGCGCUAUUGGAUGAGCCUGCGUCGGAUUAGCUUGUUGGUGAGGUAAAAGCUCACCAAGGCGACGAUCCGUAGCUGGUCUGAGAGGAUGAUC
rnacentral:rRNA from 1 species